rnacentral:ncRNA from 1 species
AACCAAUAGGGGUGCCUUAAAAACAAGGGCUGAGAUCAAACCCUCUGAACCUGAUUCGGGUAAUGCCGGCGUAGGAAAAAGAGU